rnacentral:rRNA from 1 species
GUAGGUGGCAAGCGUUGUCCGGAAUUAUUGGGCGUAAAGCGCGCGCAGGCGGUUCGUUUAAGUCUGAUGUGAAAGCCCACGGGCUCAACCGUGGAGGGUCAUUGGAAACUGGAGAACUUGAGUACAGAAGAGGAAAGCGGAAUUCCACGUGUAGCGGUGAAAUGCGUAGAGAUGUGGAGGAACACCAGUGGCGAAGGCAGCUUUCUGGUCUGUAACUGACGCUGAGGCGCGAAAGCGUGGGGAGCAAACAGGAUUAGAUACCCUGGUAGUCCACGCCGUAAACGAUGAGUGCUAAGUGUUAGGGGGUUUCCGCCCCUUAGUGCUGCAGCUAACGCAUUAAGCACUCCGCCUGGGGAGUACGGCCGCAAGGCUG